rnacentral:rRNA from 1 species
AUGCGUUCAUUUGCCUCAAACUUUAGUGGGGCCCAUUUAAGACUUAAUCGAAUGAUUACCCAACAGGUAAAAAGUGCUUUUGUUUCUUCUCAUCGAGAUAGAGGUAGGAAAAAGAGGGAUUUUCAUCGUUUGUGGAUCACUCGGAUAAACGCAGCAACGCGGGGUAUAUAA